UGAUUAUUUUUAAUGGCCGCAGUAUUUUGACUGUGCAAAGGUAGCAUAAUCAUUAGUUUCUUAAUUAGAAGCUGGUAUGAAUGGUUUGAUGAAAAAUUAACUGUCUCAAUUUAAUUGAUUUUGAAUUUUAUUUUUAAGUUAAAAAGCUUAAAUUUGUUAAGAAGACGAGAAGACCCUAUAGAGUUUAAUAAUUAUAUAUAUUAGUUUUUUAAGGUUUAUUUUUAUUUUAAUGUAUAUAAUUAUUUUGUUGGGGUGACAUUAAAAUUUGAUAAACUUUUAUUUUGGAAAACAUUAAUUUAUGAGUAAGUGAUCCUAAUUUUUAGAUUACAAGAAAAAAUUACCUUAGGGAUAACAGCGUAAUUUUUUUGGAAAGUUCUUAUUGAUAAAAAAGUUUGCGACCUCGAUGUUGGAUUAAAAUUUAGUUUAGGUGUAGAAGCUUAAAUAUUAGGUCUGUUCGACCUUUAAAAUUUUACAUGAUCU
rnacentral:rRNA from 1 species